rnacentral:sRNA from 1 species
AGUGCUGGGCUAUAAUUAAUGUUUUUAUUAAAUUUGGAGGGAAGUUUUUGCAGCCUUUCGCCUAGCGUGGCCUUCAGGUUGAUAGAAGUCCAGAUCCUGAGGAAAUCUCCAGCUAAAUGCUCAAAAUAUAAAAUACUGAGCUGAGAUUUGCGAAGAGCAGCAGCAUGGAUGGAUUUUAUGACCAGCAAGUGCCUUACAUGGUCACCAAUAGUCAGCGUGGGAGAAAUUGUAACGAGAAACCAACAAAUGUCAGGAAAAGAAAAUUCAUUAACAGAGAUCUGGCUCAUGAUUCAGAAGAACUCUUUCAAGAUCUAAGUCAAUUACAAGAAACAUGGCUUGCAGAAGCUCAGGUACCUGACAAUGAUGAGCAGUUUGUACCAGACUAUCAGGCUGAAAGUUACAUGUCUGGCUACUGACUAUUGUAUUGGUCAGCACAGCUUUGAACAGCGAUGUCUUCCACAUUGUUGUCUCCAGCCUGGUUCUUCCCUCCGAAGCUGUCUAUUGGACAUCCUCACCUGAUCCCUGCUAGUGUCCCUGUGCAGAUUAGAAAAAGGCAACAUCUCUGGACUCACUCCCUUAGCCCUUGGCUGUGCAUUGCACAAAACACCAUCUACA